GCCCGCCUAGCUCAAUCGGAUAGAGCGUCAGACUCUUAAGUCUAAGGCAUUGGGCAUAUAAAAUCUGAAGGCUGCGAGUUCGACCCUCGCGGUGGGCU